rnacentral:rRNA from 1 species
AUUGAACGCUGGCGGCAUGCCUUACACAUGCAAGUCGAACGGCAGCGGGGACUUCGGUCCGCCGGCGAGUGGCGAACGGGUGAGUAAUAUAUCGGAACGUACCUUUCAGUGGGGGAUAACGUAGCGAAAGUUACGCUAAUACCGCAUAUUCUGUGAGCAGGAAAGCAGGGGAUCUUCGGACCUUGCGCUGAUUGAGCGGCCGAUAUCAGAUUAGCUAGUUGGUGAGGUAACGGCUCACCAAGGCGACGAUCUGUAGCGGGUCUGAGAGGAUGAGCCGCCACACUGGAACUGAGACCCGGUCCAGACUCCUACGGGAGGCAGCAGUGGGGAAUUUUGGACAAUGGGCGCAAGCCUGAUCCAGCCAUGCCGCGUGAGUGAAGAAGGCCUUCGGGUUGUAAAGCUCUUUCGGCCGGGAAGAAAUCGUGCGGGCUAAUAUCCCGCAUGGAUGACGGUACCGGAAUAAGAAGCACCGGCUAACUACGUGCCAGCCGCCGCAGUAACAC